rnacentral:rRNA from 1 species
CUUCUUUGCUGGCGACCGGCGCACGGUGAGUAACACGUAUCCAACCUGCCCUUUACUCGGGGAUAGCCUUUCGAAAGAAAGAUUAAUACCCGAUAGCAUAAUGAUUCCGCAUGGUUUCAUUAUUAAAGGAUUCCGGUAAAGGAUGGGGAUGCGUUCCAUUAGGUUGUUGGUGAGGUAACGGCUCACAAGCCUUCGAUGGAUAGGGGUUCUGAGAGGAAGGUCCCCCACAUUGGAACUGAGACACGGUCCAA